ensembl:lncRNA
CUGAAGUCAAAGGCUAGAAUGUGGGGCUGGGUUUGUGUAAUUAAACCUUGUUUUAAAAAAAUACCUUUAUAGAUUUUUGACCUUCGUUGUUAUUUAGGUGUUGAUCUCUGAGUAACACCAUAGUUACUGCUGACUGGGAACUGGCACAAUCCUAAGAACUCCGAAUUUCAUUUAUACCACAGUGGGUUUAUGGUUUAAGGAGCCUAACAGAAUACUGAGCCAGUCAUUCCACAUCUGCUUGGCUCUUCUACAAACAUGUUGCACUGCAAGAGAACAUGAAAAGAAAACAAGUCUGAGAACUGAUCUACGGCGUAUACCACAGCCUCUUUGGAUGGGUAACACGAAUCUGCC